UUCAUGCCUCUGCUGCUGGUGGUGGUUUGUUGAAACAAGGUCUUACUAAGUCUUGAGGGCUGGUCCAGACUUGAGAUCUGUCAGCCUAAACCACAGUAUUGGGAUUUGGAGGCCCAGAGGGUUGCUUCUACCCAAUAAAGCAAAGAUGGGGUCCAGGCAGCCGGGUCCGGAGGGGCUCAGCACUCGCAAUAUUCCCUCCUGCACUUUUCAACCUUUUCACCCCAAUUAAAGGUCAACACGGCUGCUCAAACCCACUUAUUUAAAAAGGCAGUCAACUCAGCAGGCUGUCAAGUGUGAUAUCGCCACUUCAUAGAAUUCAAUUAAACCCGGGACCAGGGGCAUCUGUGAAUCGCUGCAAGAAGCAUGAGUUGAGCCAUUUUCGGCUUUCUUCGAAAAGCUGAACGUUUCCCUUCCGUCCUUCAUUCAGUUCCCAGAGCGCCACCGCAGGCGCGCGUUUACACUCUCCCCCCAGAGGCUCGGGGAUUUAUAGCUCCCGGCGUAAUUAAAUCCCGCUAACUGCAAUGGAGGCCUACAGCACGCCGCACUGCGGAGCGCUCGCGGCCUUUUCCUGCCGGCGCGAGCUAUCACCCGGGCACCAGGCGCGCUCACCACAGCGCCGGCGCCACUACCCACCUCAGCCUCAGGCCGCCACUUCCGCCCGCCGCACUUCCGCUGCGCGCCGCACUUCCGGCCCGCGGGCGCCGCCCUGCCGCCUGGGCUCCAUCCUCCCAGGUCCUCCUCUCUUCCCUGGGCUGAUGGCUCAGCUCCUGAGUCAUAGUACAUGAAGAGAAAGCCCCGUUAAAAUGUAUAGAAAAUGUAUAGAAACGAGAGGAAAGAGGAAGCGAAGAAGGAAGGGAGGAAGGGAAGAAAUGGGGAAGAGGCUCCCUGUGUUUAGGAAGCAGCCUGGGGGUUGGGAGGCAGCAUUUUGAGACUGGCCAUUUUAACCACUCCCUGAAUGUUCAUUCACUUAUUAAGAUAGAAAAUAGCAUAUUGGCGUUCCAUUUCUGCACCCAGUACCUGUGGGCUCAUCACUGAAAGAAAAGCACUUUGUAUUCAGUGCUUAAAAAAGAAAAAAAGAUAAAACAGGUACUUCCAACUGCAGGAAAUGGUCUGAAAGGGCCAGAUAUUAGGUUAUGUUUAAGGUCAUGGAGAAAAACAGUGGCAGCCUCCCAAAGAAAAGAUGUGCUUCUGAGCCUGGGAUGUGUUGGGUCAUUGGGUCAGUACUGACUAAUGGCAGGCCAACCAUUGCAGGAGGAAACAGAAUUAUAAGCCUGGUCACCAGGAAAGAAUGGACCUCGGAAACCUAAUUUCUGUGUCUCCUUUGACAUUUUCAAAAACUCUGCUCUGUGCCAGACAUUUAGAGGAGAGUGAAAAAAAAAUUCAAAGAGGAAAAGUGCUUAUUUGUUUUAAGGCUUGCUCAAGUAAUCCACUUAUGCCAUUUACAUUAGUUAAACAACCUUUCCGUGUA